rnacentral:rRNA from 1 species
GACGAACGCUGGCGGCGCGCUUAACACAUGCGAGUCGAACGGAAAGGCCUGCUUUCCCUUGUGGAUUGCGGGUACUCGAGUGGCGAACGGGUGAGUAACACGUGAGUGAUCUGCCCCCAACUUUGGGAUAAGCCUGGGAAACUGGGUCUAAUUCCCGAUAGGACUGCAGGGUGGUGCCGGUUGUGGAAAACGAUUUUCUAGUGGUUGGGGAUGAGCUCGCGGCCUAUCAGCUUGUUGGUGGGGUAAUGGCCUACCAAGGCGGCGACGGGUAGCCGGCCUGAGAGGGUGGACGGCCACAGUGGGACUGAGAUACGGCCCAGACUCCUACGGGAGGCAGCAGUGGGGAAUAUUGCACAAUGGGCGGAAGCCUGAUGCAGCGACGCCGCGUGGGGGAUGACGGCCUUCGGGUUGUAAACUCCUUUCGACCGCGAGGAAGCCACCUGGUUGGAAGGGUGGUGACGGUAGUGGUAGAAGAAGCACCGGCUAACUACGUG